UUGCGCGAGGGAUGGCAGCGGCAUCCUUUUGUGAGGAACGAGCAAAAGAUACAGCGAACAGCCCGACCCUUG
rnacentral:ncRNA from 2 species